GGCAUGCAAAGCUAGUGUCUUUAGGAGGAAGAAAGCCACUUUAAAUGAAUUGUUUUCAGUGGUGAUUCUUUAGGGGAAAACAAUCUCCUUCACUGCAAAAUUUACAAGUUCCUUGAGUAACUCUAUAUAAGUGGAUAGCAGACAUGGACUGGCUUCAAGUGUUCGCAGACCAUUCUUUUAUAAAAUUUCGCCAAAGGAAAAUUUUUAAUAAAAAUCUAGAAUGCGUAACAUGAAAUUAUCUAUUUACAUGAAAAAUGUGUUCAUAGCUCUAUUGCUACUCAGUGUAGCGAUUGCUAACCCAGUCCUUCCUAGUCAUGACCAAUGUCAGGAAUCAACGUCGUCAGAACUUAGAAGUCUUCUUUCAGAGGACACGCAUGAGUCAUUUGGUAUGGAAAGAUAUCACCAUAUUCAAUUUAGAAAUGAUAUAAGACACUUCCAAAACGUCACCAGAAUUACAGUUCCUGGGGAAUCAACGUCGU